rnacentral:misc_RNA from 1 species
CCGAGUUUACGACUCCCAAACCCAUGUGAACAUACCUACUGUUGCUUCGGCGGGAUUGCCCCGGGCGCCUCGUGUGCCCCGGAUCAGGCGCCCGCCUAGGAAACUUAACUCUUGUUUCUGUGAAACUCUGAGAACAAAAAGACAAAUAGUCA